rnacentral:rRNA from 1 species
GAUGAACGCUGGCGGCGUGCUUAACACAUGCAAGUCGAACGGAAAGGCCUCAGCUUGCUGGGGUACUCGAGUGGCGAACGGGUGAGUAACACGUGGGUGAUCUGCCCUGCACUUUGGGAUAAGCUUAGGAAACUGGGUCUAAUACCGAAUAUGACCACGUCUUGGAUGUUGUGGUGGAAAGCUUUUGCGGUGUGGAAUGAGCCUGCGGCCUUUCAGCUUGUUGGUGGGGUAAUGGCCUACCAAGGCGGCGACGGGUAUCCGGCCUGAGAGGGUGUAAGGAAACAUUGGGACUGAGAUACGGCCCAGACUCCUACGGGAGGCAGCAGUGGGGAAUAUUGCACAAUGGGCGCAAGCCUGAUGCAGCGACGCCGCGUGGGGGAUGAAGGCCUUCGGGUUGUAAACUCCUUUCGCUAUCGACGAAGCCACUUGUGGUGACGGUAGGUAGAUAAGAAGCACCGGCUAACUACGUGCCAGCCGCCGCCGUAA